rnacentral:rRNA from 1 species
AGAGUUUGAUCCUGGCUCAGGAUGAACGCUAGCUACAGGCUUAACACAUGCAAGUCGAGGGGCAUCAGGAAGAAAGCUUGCUUUCUUUGCUGGCGACCGGCGCACGGGUGAGUAACACGUAUCCAACCUGCCCUUUACUCGGGGAUAGCCUUUCGAAAGAAAGAUUAAUACCCGAUGGCAUAAUGAUUCCGCAUGGUUUCAUUAUUAAAGGAUUCCGGUAAAGGAUGGGGAUGCGUUCCAUUAGGUUGUUGGUGAGGUAACGGCUCACCAAGCCUUCGAUGGAUAGGGGUUCUGAGAGGAAGGUCCCCCACAUUGGAACUGAGACACGGUCCAAACUCCUACGGGAGGCAGCAGUGAGGAAUAUUGGUCAAUGGGCGCUAGCCUGAACCAGCCAAGUAGCGUGAAGGAUGAAGGCUCUAUGGGUCGUAAACUUCUUUUAUAUAAGAAUAAAGUGCAGUAUGUAUACUGUUUUGUAUGUAUUAUAUGAAUAAGGAUCGGCUAACUCCGUGCCAGCAGCCGCGGUAAUACGGAGGAUCCGAGCGUUAUCCGGAUUUAUUGGGUUUAAAGGGAGCGUAGGUGGACUGGUAAGUCAGUUGUGAAAGUUUGCGGCUCAACCGUAAAAUUGCAGUUGAUACUGUCAGUCUUGAGUACAGUAGAGGUGGGCGGAAUUCGUGGUGUAGCGGUGAAAUGCUUAGAUAUCACGAAGAACUCCGAUUGCGAAGGCAGCUCACUGGACUGCAACUGACACUGAUGCUCGAAAGUGUGGGUAUCAAACAGGAUUAGAUACCCUGGUAGUCCACACAGUAAACGAUGAAUACUCGCUGUUUGCGAUAUACAGUAAGCGGCCAAGCGAAAGCAUUAAGUAUUCCACCUGGGGAGUACGCCGGCAACGGUGAAACUCAAAGGAAUUGACGGGGGCCCGCACAAGCGGAGGAACAUGUGGUUUAAUUCGAUGAUACGCGAGGAACCUUACCCGGGCUUAAAUUGCAGUGGAAUGAUGUGGAAACAUGUCAGUGAGCAAUCACCGCUGUGAAGGUGCUGCAUGGUUGUCGUCAGCUCGUGCCGUGAGGUGUCGGCUUAAGUGCCAUAACGAGCGCAACCCUUAUCUUUAGUUACUAACAGGUCAUGCUGAGGACUCUAGAGAGACUGCCGUCGUAAGAUGUGAGGAAGGUGGGGAUGACGUCAAAUCAGCACGGCCCUUACGUCCGGGGCUACACACGUGUUACAAUGGGGGGUACAGAAGGCAGCUAGCGGGUGACCGUAUGCUAAUCCCAAAAGCCUCUCUCAGUUCGGAUCGAAGUCUGCAACCCGACUUCGUGAAGCUGGAUUCGCUAGUAAUCGCGCAUCAGCCACGGCGCGGUGAAUACGUUCCCGGGCCUUGUACACACCGCCCGUCAAGCCAUGGGAGCCGGGGGUACCUGAAGUACGUAACCGCAAGGAUCGUCCUAGGGUAAAACUGGUGACUGGGGCUAAGUCGUAACAAGGUAGCCGUACCGGAAGGUGCGGCUG